rnacentral:rRNA from 1 species
AUUGAACGCUGGCGGCAGGCCUAACACAUGCAAGUCGAGCGAGCGGCGGACGGGUGAGUAAUGUCUGGGAAACUGCCUGAUGGAGGGGGAUAACUACUGGAAACGGUAGCUAAUACCGCAUAACAUCAGAUGUGCCCCGAUGGGAUGAGCUAGGAGGUGGGGUAAUGGCUCACCUAGGCGACGAUCCCUAGCUGGUCUGAGAGGAUGACCAGCCACACUGGAACUGAGACACGGUCCAGACUCCUACGGGAGGCAGCAGUGGGGAAUAUUGCACAAUGGGCGCAAGCCUGAUGCAGCCAUGCCGCGUGUAUGAAGAAGGCCUUCGGGUUGUAAAGUACUUUCAGCGAGGAGGCGUUACUCGCAGAAGAAGCACCGGCUAACUCCGUGCCAGCAGCCGCGGUAAUUC